AUGAAAAAAUCUCUAAGUCACUGGCUGACCAGAGACCUCACAGUAUUUGGGAGAGUUAUUUUAUCUAAAGCUGAUGGUGUGUCUAAGUUAAUAUAUCCUUGUCACUCCUUGUUUAUUUCUGACAGAAAUAUUAGGAAGGCCAACUCAAUAAUUUUUCAAUUUCUGUGGAGAAAUAAGACACAUUAUUUAAAAAGGUUCCAGAUAGUUAAAGAGUAUAUAAAUGGUGGAUUAAAAGCCUUAGAUUUUGAAGCCUUGAUAGGCUCAUUUAGAAUCAAGUGGUUAAAUUUUUUUUUUGCUUAUUCCAACUCUAUGUGGUUUCACAUACCUAGGGCUAUUUUUGGAAAGCUUGGUGGUAUUGAUUUUCUACUGAGAUGUGACUUUCAUAUUAAUAAGAUUCCACUUGCACUGUCUAAAUUUCAUAGUCAAAUACUACACUUUUGGAAAAUGAUUUUCACACAUAACUUUACUCCACACAGUUCAGUUCUGUGGAACAAUAGAACAAUUCUUAUAAAUAGAAAAUCAUUAUUUAAAGCUGAUUGGUUCGACAAGGGAAUUCUUUUUGUAACUGACUUGAUGGAUUGUAAAGGUAUUCUGUUGGAUUACACCAGUUUUGUUGAACGUUUUAAUAUAAACUGUACUCUCAGAGAGUUUCAAAGAAUUUGUAAAGCUAUUCCUAUAGCCUUGAUCCAACUAAUCCAGAAUACUUUGACUUACUCUGAUGUCACUCCAGUAUUGCCAAAUCUAGUAAUUGGUCAUCAUAAUUUAGUAGAUAAAAAAUUCAAUAAUAGAAUUGUUACAGAUGCUUUUAAAUCUAGAUUGUUCUACGAUUAUAAUAAAAACAAUGUGCUUGUUAACUCUUUUUAUAUGAGGGAAAAAGCCUUCUCUAAAUAUGUGAAAUGGCCAAUUCCCCCUAAAGUUAAAGAGACACAUUUCAAAAUUUGUCAUAAGAUUUAUCCAGUUUCCAAUUUUCUUCAUAAGCGAUUUAAAUUUGAUAAGGCGAGUUGUGCCUUUUCUGAUUUUACUGAUGAAUCUCUAGAACACUUAUUUUUCACUUGCUCCAUUUCAUGCCGG
rnacentral:lncRNA from 1 species